GUUAUAGGGUCAAGCGAACAAGUGCAUGUGGUGGAUGCCUUGGCGAUCACAGGCGAUGAAGGACGCGGUAGCCUGCGAAAAGCUACGGGGAGCUGGCAAACAAGCUUUGAUCCGUAGAUGUCCGAAUGGGGAAACCCACUCCUUUUGGAGUAUCCAUGGCUGAAUACAUAGGCCAUGCGAAGCGAACGCGGUGAACUGAAACAUCUAAGUAACCGCAGGAAAAGAAAUCAACCGAGAUUCCCAAAGUAGUGGCGAGCGAAAUGGGAUGAGCCUUGCACUCUUUAUUUGUAUUGUUAGCCGAACGCUCUGGAAAGUGCGGCCAUAGCAGGUGAUAGCCCUGUAGGCGAAAACAGUAUGAAAGAACUAGGUGUGCGACAAGUAGGGCGGGACACGUGAAAUCCUGUCUGAAGAUGGGGGGACCAUCCUCCAAGGCUAAAUACUCGUGAUCGACCGAUAGUGAACCAGUACCGUGAGGGAAAGGCGAAAAGAACCCCGGGAGGGGAGUGAAAUAGAUCCUGAAACCGCAUGCAUACAAACAGUCGGAGCCUCGUAAGGGGUGACGGCGUACCUUUUGUAUAAUGGGUCAGCGACUUACGUUCAGUAGCAAGCUUAACCGUAUAGGGCAGGCGUAGCGAAAGCGAGUCCGAAUAGGGCGUUCAGUUGCUGGGCGUAGACCCGAAACCAGGUGAUCUAUCCAUGGCCAGGAUGAAGGUGCGGUAACACGUACUGGAGGUCCGAACCCACUAACGUUGAAAAGUUAGGGGAUGAGCUGUGGAUAGGGGUGAAAGGCUAAACAAACCUGGAAAUAGCUGGUUCUCUCCGAAAACUAUUUAGGUAGUGCCUCGUGUCUCACCUUCGGGGGUAGAGCACUGUCAUGGUUGGGGGGUCUAUUGCAGAUUACCCCGCCAUAGCAAACUCCGAAUACCGAAGAGUGCAAUCACGGGAGACAGACAUCGGGUGCUAACGUCCGGUGUCAAGAGGGAAACAACCCAGACCGCCAGCUAAGGUCCCCAAAUAUAGCUAAGUGGGAAACGAAGUGGGAAGGCUAAAACAGUCAGGAGGUUGGCUUAGAAGCAGCCACCCUUUAAAGAAAGCGUAAUAGCUCACUGAUCGAGUCGUCCUGCGCGGAAGAUGUAACGGGGCUAAGCUAUAUACCGAAGCUGCGGAUGCGUGCUUAGCACGCAUGGUAGGAGAGCGUUCCGUAAGCCUGCGAAGGUGCCUUGUAAAGGGUGCUGGAGGUAUCGGAAGUGCGAAUGCUGACAUGAGUAGCGAUAAAGGGGGUGAAAGGCCCCCUCGCCGUAAGCCCAAGGUUUCCUACGCAACGUUCAUCGGCGUAGGGUGAGUCGGCCCCUAAGGCGAGGCAGAAAUGCGUAGCUGAUGGGAAGCAGGUCAAUAUUCCUGCACCAUUGUUAGAUGCGAUGGGGGGACGGAUCGCGGAAGGUUGUCCGGGUGUUGGAAGUCCCGGUCGCUGCAUUGGAGAAGGC
rnacentral:rRNA from 1 species